UCCUGCCCCGUUCUGCUGACUGCGCUUUACAGUGAAGCGCCGUUGGUCUCUCAGCCGAAGGCAGUUAUCCCCGUCGUACUCACCUCCGUCCAUCGCUCUCUCCGCCUCUCUGUCUCUUCACUUCUCCCUCUCUCACCGCUCCUCUGGUUGCGCUUCCAUCACCGGUCAUGGAGGUUCUCUGCCGUCUCAAUCUAUCUGUCUCACUAAUCUUUCUCUCACCUGUUUUCUCUCUUUGAACCGCUGAGAUUUCGACAAAGGACAGCAGCAUUCGCCUCGUCAAGAGGUAUCACAAACCGAAUCGCAAAGAGUUCAAGAAGGUGGCAGUCCGUACAGCGAUCGAGUUCGUGGUGAUGGGAUUCGUAGGGUUCUUUGUGAAGCUGAUUUUCAUUGCUAUUAACAUCAUCGUUGUUGGAUCUGUUUGAGGAUAACGAUGAUGUUGCUUUGAGAAAUUGUGUAUCAACUUAUUUGCGGAGCCAUCUUGGGGAAUAAUAGUGUUUUCUUCACACCCGCGUUGGCCCGGCAUUACUCCUCGUUUCAUUUUGGUAAAGAAGUUGUCUUUCCUCACAAGCUCCAUGGCUGAGGGGGAGAGGGGGGGGAAAGUUGUGCUUGAAUGAUUAUGAUGCUAUAUUGGGCACAUUUCUUAUAUUUUUCUACUUGAUGUUAUUAUGUACAUGUUACGUAGCCUAGUUUUAACUAGUGGUUGGGUUUUAACAGCA